UUGAAGUUGAGUUUGGAGGGGUUUUUGUGCCCCUGAACGCAGCUCUGGCUUUCCGCCACUGUUAGCAUUUAUUUAAAAAUGUUGCCAAACACGCAGCAGAUAUUAUAUUAAAGAGAUUCAUUGGAUGGAGGUGUAGAGAGGAGAGAGAGAGAAAGGGGAAAAGUAGAGAGAGAGAGAUGAUGGGGGCAGGAAAGAAAGCGAGGCAGAGAGAGCAAGAGAGUAAGAGAGACAAAGUGGCGGUUGGUACUUUUAUAGCUUGUGUGUGUGCGGAACUGUACCUUGUCUGCCACACGCACCUGGCCUGCGACACGUGACGACAUCUAGGUUACUAGGCAACCCAGAAGCAGGCUGCCACCCCUCAUUUUCACACUGGUAGAGCUGCAGUGACAUGAAAUGGAGCUUUGUUUUAAGACUACAGUUUCGGGUUCUUUCUCCGAAAGCCACAACGGAGCAGACACUUUUGGAAUUCCAGAAGCACAAUUGAGCCCGUUUCUUGGUGUCAGGGCCCGAGGUGCUAUGUAGUAGUUCAUAGAGCUAGGCUGGUUGCCCUGUGAAAGUCAGAAGGUAUUGGCUGGGAGGGGGAGGCCAGGACAUGCGACAUCCAAGGAGGCUCCCAGAGGGAAACACUGAGCGUUCUGGAAAGCAUGAGCCAGGAGUGGAAGAGGAGUGAAUGGCGUGCGAAAGAGAACCCUGUGUCGUGUUUCAGAGCUAGAGGGGGCCAAGGACUUUGCUGCGGGAAGCAGACUGCAAGCAGGCAGUCUACCUGAUACCGACUUUGCCAAGCCAGCGUGAGACGAGCUGGAGACAGAGAGGGGCAGUUUCAGGAAUGCAGUCGGUCGUGUGGCUUCCUGCAGAGCUUCUGUGCAGAUCCCUCGCUCCAGGGCUGUAUACUGCAGGUGGGCUUGUUGUGAGCUUCUGGCUGAACCUACACCUCUCAGCUCCCCACAAAAGUGCCGGAACUGCAGACAUGCGCACAGCGGCUUCCGGUUUGCUAUGUGUGGGGUUCUGGUUAUCGGGUUAUCGGGUCUGCUGAAUUGACCUUGUGUGUGCGUGAGAGAGAGGUAGGUGUGGGGUAGAGGGCCUCUCAGUGCUCUGGAGUCUGCCAAGUAGGCAAGGCUGACUGGCCCUUGAGUCCAGGGAUCUACUUCUGCUUCUCCAGGGCUGAGAUUACAAGCAUCCAUUCUUUUCUAGUUUGUGAGUAUGCAGUCCUGAGGCUGACAGCCAUGUCUUCUUCAGUUGUCCACGAUCUUAUUUUGGGGUGGGGGAGAAAGGUUCAUACGAAUUUUCCUCAAUAUAUUAAGGUCUUAGGAUAUAAACCUAUUGGCAUGCAAGAAUAUUUAUUUAUCUUAGCUUGUAUUUUGAGACAGGGUCUCUUGGUGAACCUAAAGACUGGGAUACAAACGAAAGGACACCUCAAGGCAAGGGGUGGCAAGUUACACUACAAUGAACAAAUAUGUGAUGGAGAGGUGAGAAAGAUGGAAAAAAAUCGAAGUGGUUUGUGCACUAUGGAGGAGAAGAAAAUGGAACCUGAUGGUGGUGACAGGUGAGAGAGAGCAGAGGUCGACAUUCUGUCAUUGCACAGUAGGGUCGUCAGGAUGGUGUGCUGCAGCCUGGAGUAAGCAGAUGAAGACUCAACUGACCCCCAGCCCCUCCGCAACCUUCUGCCUGGCCACCGGAUCCCCUUGGCAAAGGUGCACUUUCUGGAUUGAAUUUCCUCAAAGGACCACUGUGGUCCAGGAUGCUGCCAGAGGUCACGUUGCUGUCUAUGGCUCAUGCUGCUGCCCCAGGCCUGACAUCCAACAAAAAAUGAGCUUUUUCUUUCUUUCUUUCUUUCUUUCUUUCUUUCUUUCUUUCUUUCUUUCUUUCUUUCUUUCUUCCUUCCUUCCUUCCUUCCUUCCUUUCUUUCUUUCUUUCUUUCUUUCUUUCUUUUCGUGGGAAGGGGAGGUCACAGGGAAGGAGAGGUGGACAUGAAAAGAGGACUGGAAAGGUUGAGUGUGAUCUGAUGGGGUGCCUGAUGUGAAAUUCCCAAAUAAAACAAACAAACAAAUAAACCCAA